AGUGCUCCUAGUUGAAGAACCACCCAUAGAUCAAGGCAUCUAUCUCAGGCUGAUGAUGCGAGCGGCCAGCAAUGAUGAUGCAUGUUGAUGGCAGGUUGGUUAUAAAUUGCUGACUGGGUACACCUGCUUUGGCCAGCUCCUUGGAUAAAGGAGUGAGGAAACCCCGCAAUGGCUGCUUCUUCCCAUAGCCUUUGUGUGUUGGCAGUAGGCUGCGAUGAGCCAGCGUGUAUUGAUCGGCUUCUGCAUGCUAAAGCUGUAAUCGGGCCCGACAAGGCCUGAGCCCGACAGAAUUUGGCCCGAGCCCGACAAGUACAUUUUGAUUGACAGCUUGAAAAAUGAGCGUUCGACUAGUCAUAACUGGUUUCCAAGAUGGCUCCCGCAAGUAAACAUGAA